AUUGAACGCUGGCGGAAUGCUUUACACAUGCAAGUCGAACGGUAGAGGGGGCAACCCCUUGAGAGUGGCGAACGGGUGAGUAAUAUAUCGGAACGUGCCCAGUCGUGGGGAUAACGUAGCGAAAGUUACGCUAAUACCGCAUACGAUCUAAGGAUGAAAGCGGGGGACUCGCAAGAGCCUCGCGCGAUUGGAGCGGCCGAUAUCAGAUUAGGUAGUUGGUGGGGUAAAGGCUCACCAAGCCAACGAUCUGUAGCUGGUCUGAGAGGACGACCAGCCACACUGGAACUGAGACACGGUCCAGACUCCUACGGGAGGCAGCAGUGGGGAAUUUUGGACAAUGGGCGCGAGCCUGAUCCAGCAAUGCCGCGUGCAGGAUGAAGGCCUUCGGUUGUAACUGCUUUGUACGGAACGAAACGGUGAGCUCUAAUACAGUUUGCUAAUGACGGUACCGU
rnacentral:rRNA from 1 species